rnacentral:misc_RNA from 1 species
GGUUUGAGCAAGGUGGUUUCGGGUUCAUCCCAAGUCCAAGCAUUCAGGGUCGAAGCCCUUCGUUUUCUAAUGACUAUCUCCGCUGCUUGUUCGUCUUACGUUAAAGUAAAUAGUCAGGGAAUCGCGCUUAGUUCUUUCCGUACGGCUUAGGUUAGGGGCCUUGGUCUUUUUUGCGUAUCAGCUCAACUACAUCCGAUUCAAUAGUUGCCCCUAGGCCUAAGAAAAAUGCCCUUACUCAAGCACCAAGACCGGCACCAGCAGCCGUUGCUCAUUCUAUUGGCUUAGAAGCGGCUUCUGUAGCAGCUUCUGAUUCAACUCUAAGACAAGGUGCGACUCUU